rnacentral:tRNA from 1 species
GAGGGCAGAGCUCAGCGGUAGCGUGCGUGCUUAGCAUGCACGAGGUCCUGGGUUCCAUCCCCAGUACCUCCA